CCUACGGGGGGCAGCAGUAGGGAAUAUUGCUCAAUGGGAGAAACCCUGAAGCAGCAACGCCGCGUGAAGGAUGAAGGUUUUCGGAUUGUAAACUCCUUUUGUUAGAGAAGAUAAUGACGGUAUCUAACGAAUAAGCACCGGCUAACUCCGUGCCAGCAGCCGCGGUAAUACGGAGGGUGCAAGCGUUACUAGGAAUCACUGGGCGUAAAGAGCGCGUAGGCGGGAUAGCAAGUCAGAUGUGAAAUCCUAUGGCUUAACCAUAGAACUGCAGUUGAAACUGUUAUUCUAGAGUAUGGGAGAGGUAGGUGGAAUUCGUGGUGUAGGGGUAAAAUGCGUAGAGAUCAAGAGGAACACUAAUUGCGAAGGCGACCUGCUAGAACAUAACUGACGCUGAGGCGCGAAAGCGUGGGGAGCAAACAGGAUUAGAUACCCCUGUAGUC
rnacentral:rRNA from 1 species